AGGUGCGAUCAUACCAGCACUAAUGCACCGGAUCCCAUCAGAACUCCGCAGUGAAGCGUGCUUGGGCGAGAGUAGUACUAGGAUGGGUAACCUCCUGGGAAGUUCUCGUGUUGCACUUCUUU
rnacentral:rRNA from 1 species